rnacentral:rRNA from 1 species
GAUACCCGUCUAUUCAUGGAAUAAAUAAAGUCGAAAAAUACGAACUACAGUUUAAAACUUAAAGAUUUUGGCGGUGUCUCAUCGAACCAGGGGAACCUGUCUCAUAACUCGAUAAUCCACGAAACCCCUACCCUCUUUAGACCUAACAGCUUGUGUACUGCCGUCGUAAGCACACCUCUAAAAGCCRAUUAAGUAUGCAAUUAUGACUAACUCAUAUACGUCAGGUCAAAGUGCAGCUUAUGAGAAGGCGACGAUGGGUUACACCCUAAAUAAAGAUACGAAAUAUGGCACCAAAAGCCACAUGAAGGUGGACUUGGACGUAACAAAGAUAUAAAAUCAAAAUGAAAACGAAUCUGAGGCAUGCACACAUCGCCCGUCACUCUUGCCCAAAGGUGAGAUAAGUC